CCUACGGGAGGCAGCAGUGGGGAAUAUUGCACAAUGGGCGAAAGCCUGAUGCAGCGACGCCGCGUGAGGGAUGACGGCCUUCGGGUUGUAAACCUCUUUCAGCAGGGAAGAAGCGAGAGUGACGGUACCUGCAGAAGAAGCGCCGGCUAACUACGUGCCAGCAGCCGCGGUAAUACGUAGGGCGCAAGCGUUGUCCGGAAUUAUUGGGCGUAAAGAGCUCGUAGGCGGCUUGUUGCGUCGGUUGUGAAAGCCCGGGGCUUAACCCCGGGUCUGCAGUCGAUACGGGCAGGCUAGAGUGUGGUAGGGGAGAUCGGAAUUCCUGGUGUAGUGGUGAAAUGCGCAGAUAUCAGGAGGAACACCGGUGGCGAAGGCGGAUCUCUGGGCCAUUACUGACGCUGAGGAGCGAAAGCGUGGGGAGCGAACAGGAUUAGAUACCCUGGUAGUCCACGCCGUAAACGUUGGGAACUAGGUGUUGGCGACAUUCCACGUCGUCGGUGCCGCGNGCUACGACAUUAACGUUACCCGUCCCGUCGGGGUAGGUACGGCCGGCCGACGGACGUAAACCGUACAACGAAGUAGUACGACGCGUAGACGACGCGACGACGACGACGACGGAGGGAGGAG
rnacentral:rRNA from 1 species